UACGUAGGGCGCGAGCGUUAAUCGGAAUUACUGGGCGUAAAGCGUGCGCAGGCGGCUUUGCAAGACAGAUGUGACAUCCCCGGGCUCAACCUGGGAACUGCAUUUGUGACUGCAAGGCUAGAGUACGGCAGAGGGGGAUGGAAUUCCGCGUGUAGCAGUGAAAUGCGUAGAUAUGCGGAGGAACACCAAUGGCGAAGGCAAUCCCCUGGGCCUGUACUGACGCUCAUGCACGAAAGCGUGGGGAGCAAACAGG
rnacentral:rRNA from 1 species